CAGUGGAAUCAUAAUAAUUUAAAUAUAAAGAUUAACUUUUUAUCUAUUAUAUAAAUUCAUUUAAUAAAAAUAAUGAUAGGAUUUUUCAUCAAGAAAUUGCUUUUUAUAAUAAUUGCCUCUCAUUCUCAGCGAAAUCUCCCUUACAAAAAUUAAUUACAAAUGCAACAUUUUAAAUUAAAAUUAUAAAACAUAGACAAGAUUAAUUACAAUAAAUCAUUCUAAAUUAAAAAAUCAUAUAAAAUUCUAAUCGAAAAAUAUAAAUAUUUAAAGUAAAACUAUUAAUAAACUAUUAUUGAUAAUGAUAAUUUCCCUUUUUAUCUACCUUGCUUUCUUUUCUUUUCUUUUUUUCUCAUUGAAAUAUUUUGUUUGACAUUAAUAACCAUGCUAAUAAUUAUCACCAAAGAAAAUAACCAUAGCAAAAAAUUAAUAUAAAUAUAAUUAAUUAAUAUCAACUGAAAAAUAAUAAUUUAUUUUAAUUAAGAGUAAAUUUGUACCCAUUUGUUUCUCAAAGUGCUCUUUCAUAUCAUAAUAUAAUAACAAUUACUCCCUUGUCAAUUAAAAUAUCUUCUAUCUCCUUCCAAUAUCAUUAUUAUUCGAAUAUAAUUCAAUAUUGCCUUUUCGAAGAACCAUCACUUUAAUGUUUUAUUUUUUUAAUAUAAUUCUAAUUUAUUAAUGUUAAUAAUCUCCAUUUGUUUUUAGAUGCUACUUGACCAAAUGUGCAUAAGGAUGCUAUUUAUAAAGCUAAACUUAAAUUUUAUUUGAUAUAUAACUCUCACAUUGAUUGUGUGAUUAUUAAGAUGCUUGGAAUUCUAUUCAAGUAAUAACUCAAUUUUACAUCAAUAAAAUUAGCAUUUUUUUACAUAAAACUUUUUGAUUAAUUAUUGUAAUUAUAAUUAUAUUAUCAUAAUUAUUUCCUGUAUUUCAUGGUUAAAGUUCUAUUUAAGUAAUAAAUUUAUUUUCAAAUUAGCAUAAAUUUUUAAUUAAUAAUUAUAAAUUACAUUAUAUUUUUUACAUGUGUAAUUAUCACAACUUCUAUUAAAUUAUAACUAUUUUCAGUUGUAUAAUUAUCAUAACUUCUAUUUUACAUCAAAUUUUAACUAAUAAUUCUAAAUUAUAUAUCAUUAUUUUAUCUAAAUGCCAAUGUAGUAACUUAAUUAUGAAAGUCUGCUACCCUAGCACAAUAUUGUCUGCCGCCUCUAGCAUGAGUUUUAGGUUUUCUUGUCUUUAGUCUUUGUUUGUUUCUUAGUUGCAAUUAACGUCUUCAGGCUACUCUUAUUCAUACGAUUGGGAGAGUGGUGAUCGUGUUCUGGCCUUCAAACCUGCAUUCAUGGAGACUGAAUUAGCACAAUUGUCGCUCAAUGAGGAAGAAGAAGAAAUCUUACAAAUCCAGGUAGAUCUGAGUAUGCAAAGAGAAGUGGGAGAAUUUUAGCUUGUGGGAUGUUUCCUAACAGCUAGUAUAAUUCACUAUCCAGCCAUGAAAAGCACUAUGGCAAACCUGUGGCAUCCUGCUUGUAGGGUCCAAAUUCGAGAUCUAGGGGAAAAAAGGUACCUUUUUCAGUUUUUUCAUAGUAUGGAUAUAGAGAGGGUUUUGAAAGGUUUACCAUGGACUUUUAAUAAUCAUUUGUUAAUACUUUGUAAACUGAAAAGAGGAGAGGAUCCACUAAAAGUACCACUAGUUUUUAUCCCUUUCUGGGUACAAAUUCAUGACGUCCUAAUAAGGUUAUUUUCUGAAAGUCUAGCAAUACAAUUGGGUAAUUUUAUAGGAGUUUUCUUGGAGUAUGAUGGGUCAAAUUUAAGGAAGGAAAACCGUAAUUACAUGAGGGUAAGGGUACAAAUUGACGUUAGGAAGCCCUUGAAAAAAAAAGUAGGUUAUGUGUUGUGGGAUAUGCUCGUAUGUUAAAUUUAAGUAUGAACGUCUAUCGCUUUUCUGUUUCUACUAAGGACGACUGGGACAUAAUGACUCUUUUUGUGAGGCAAAAAUGAUGUUAGGGGUGGAUAUUGCUGAAUUGGGUUGGAAUUUAUCAUUGCGAGUACAAUCUCGAAGAGCCAUUUCAAUUAAUAGUAUAUGGCCAUGAGAAGAGGGUGAAGGAAAAUGAGAAAAAAGUUGGACGGGUAAUCGGGUUGUAGGGCUUAGAUCUUUGAAUGGGGAUAUGAAAGAAAGAAGGGGAAAAGCCAUUGGUCCAAUUUUAGGUUUUAACAUAGAAGGAGGGGUGUUAUCUGUAAAUCAACGGAAGGACAAAUUUUGGUCCAAUUAGAUGCAAAUGGCCAUGGAGCAUGAUUUGCAAGAUGAUACCUUAAUAAGGGAGGAGGGGAAAAAGUGAAACAGGGAGAGAUGGAAGAUCUAACAGAAAAUGAAGAGAGUGGUAAUGCAAUAACAAGAAAUAGAAGAAUGGUGGAAUUUAAUCUUUUAUCAUCGGCGGUUGCCAAGAGGCAAGCUGACCGGGCGCAAUGAAAAUCAUAAGUUGGAACGUCCGUGGUUUGGGGAGACAAUGGACUAUUAAAAGACUUUAGCAUUUACUAAAUAUACAUAAUCCCUAAAUAAUCUUCUUUAUGGAGACAAAGUUUAGUAGAAAAUAGAUGGAACGAGCUCGUAGAAGAUGUGGUUACGCGAAUGGUAUUGAAGUUGACUCAGAAGGUACGAGAGGAGGAUUGUGUCUAGCAUAGAGGACUGAUGUUAAUAUAAUGCUCCGUAAUUUUUCUAAAAGACACAUUGAUGUGGUAGUUGAAGAUAAGGAAAAAGAAACCAAUUGGAGAUUUACAGGAUUCUAUGGAUCCCCAUAUAUGCUAGAUAAGAAGGAUUCAUGGGCUGCUUUGAAAACCUUAGCUACUGAUAUGGAAACCCUUUGGUUUGUUUGUGAAGACUUCAAUGAAAUUAUGUAUAGAUUCGAAAAAAAAGGGCUGCCUAGAGAUAAAAAAAAAGGAUGGAACAUUUUUUAAGAACACUAAAGGAAUGUCAACUGAAUGAUGUGGGCUUUGAUGGUAACUGGUUCACUUGGGAGAGAGGUAAUUUAUUGGAGACGAACAUACAAGAACGACUAGACAGAGGUGUCGCUAACACAGAAUGGAUUGCUAUGUUUUCGGAGGUGAAAGUCCAACAUCUAGUGCAUUCAUUUUCAGAUCACUACCCUCUUCUUAUUAAUACAAGGAAAUGUGAUGAACGAUUGAGGAACAAUAAUUUAAAAUUUGAAGCUUGGUGGUCCUUGAAGGAGUCUUUCAUUAAUGAAGUCAAGUGUUUGUGGGAGAAAUCUUCAGGGGAGCUAUUACAGAAGCUAGAAAAUUUGAAAAAAAAGGCUUGAAGAAGUGGGUUGGGAAAAUUCAAAUAAAUAGAAAAAAGAAAAAAAUAAAUCCUAACGGAAAAACUAGUGGUUGGCUGAAGCUGAAAGAAAUGAUAAGAAUCUAGUUGAGUUGAUUGAUACGAAAAUUAAUUUGAAUUUUGAGAUCGAAAAAGAUGAAUGUUACUAGGAAUAGAGGGCCAGACUAAACUGGUUGAAAUUUGGUGAUAAAAACACAAUAUUUUUCACAGUCAAGCAUCACAGAGGCGGAGGACAAAUCUCAUUCACAAGUUAAAAAAUGAAGACGGAAGAGAAAUGGUGGCAUUACAGAAAAUAGGUGUUGUGCGGUCUUAUUUUCAAAGAUUAUUUUCGACAGAAGGUAGGGGGAACUACGAACAUAUACUAUCAGGGAUCGAGCGUUGUGUCUAUGCGAAAGACAACCAAAAACUUACAACUACAUACACUAAAGAUGAAAUUACAGAAGCAGUAUUCGACAUGGGACCCAUGAAGGCACCAGGAGAAGACAAAUUUCCAGCUCUAUUUUAUCAGAAAUGUUGGCAGAUUGUUGGAGAAGAAGUCACCUCCUUUCUUACAAAUUCUAAAUAAGGAUAUGGAGGUUAGUCCAAUUAACUCUACCAAUAUAGUACUUGUCCCAAAAAUUACUAGCCCCUCUAAUAUGAUGCAAUUUCGACUGAUUAGUCUAUGCAAUGUACUUUAUAAAAUUUUGGGAAAGGUAAUAGCAAAUCGAUUCGAGGAGUUAUUGAAAAAUGCAUUGAUAAAGCGCAGAGUGCCUUUGUGCCAGGUCGAUUAAUAUCAGAUAAUGUUCUGUUAGCUUAUGAAAUGUUGCAUAAGUUAAAACAGAAGAGAUUGGGGAAAAAAGGGUAUAUGGCCGUUAAGCUCAAUAUGAGUAAAUCAUAUGAUAAGGUUGAAUGGAAUUUUAUAAAGGAGGUAAUGAUACGAAUGGGGUUUGAUCAAAGCUAGGUAGAUGCCAUUAUGAAAUGUGCAACCACUGUUUCUUAUUCAAUAAUCAUCAAUGGGCAUAAUGCGGAUAAGUUUCUACCAACUAGAGGACUUAGACAAGGUGAUCCGCUAGGCCCCUUCUUAUUUCUUUUAUGUGGUGAGGGUCUAUCGAGCCUACUGAGACUAGCAACGAAUGGAAACUUCUUAAAAGGUGUUAAGGUUAAUAGAAAUGACCCACAGGUAUCUCAUCUUUUAUUCACUAAUGAUUGCAUAUUAUUUAGGGAGGCGACAAGUAAGGGUGCUAAUCUAUUCAAGGACAUUCUCCGCGAGUACAAAUCUUGCUCGGGUCAAUGUGUGAACUUUGACAAAUCAACAGUAUUCUUUAGUAAGAACACGUUAGAGGAAGAUAGGAGGCUGGUUGUCAAUCUAUUUGGGGUACGUAGUUCGAAUGAACCACAUCGUUAUUUAGGGUUGCCUAAUAUGGUGGGUCGAAGAAAAAUGAAUCUUUUCAAAACUUGAAAGACCAACUCAAAAAACGUAUUGAUAAUUAGAGUAACAGGUACUUAUCGUAGGGUGGAAAAGAAGUAUUUAUGAAAGCCAUUCUUCAGGUAUACCAACUUAUACGAUGGCUUUUUUAUUACCUAAAGUUCUAUGUGAAGAAUUGGAAAGUAUCAUUGCGAGGUUCUGGUGGCAGAAAGGACAUGGAAAAAGUGGAAUUCAUUGGUGCACUUGGAAAAACCUUUGUUCUUUAAAAGAAAAUGAUGGUUUAGGUUUUUGAAAUCUUGGUCAAUUUAAUAUUGCGUUAUUAGCUAAACAAGGUUGGCGUCUUAUUAAUUAUCCAAAUUCUUUAUUAGCCAGAGUUUUAAAAGCAAAAUACUAUCCGCAAUUAAGUUUUCUAAAGGCAGAGUUGGGAAAUUUACCUUCACUUACUUGGAAGAGUAUUUGGGCAGCAAAGGGACUUCUCCAAAAAGGGAUGCGCUGGAGAGUGGGCAGGGGAGACAACAUUUCUAUCUGGGAAGAUAGCUGGAUACAAGGGAUUGAUACAAUUGACGGACAUAACAGAUCAAAUAAUGGGGAAUUGCAGUUAGUCUCGGAUCUUAUUGAUAAUACAAACAGAAAAUAGAGGUCGGAUUUGAUUAAUAGUACCUUUCAAACGAAAAUUGCUUAGAAAAUUCUACAGAUCCCUCUUGCAGAGACUGAUCCCGAGGAUACUCAAGUUUGGAAAGGAGAAUUAUCCAGCGAGUUUUCAAUAUGCAGUGCCUAUAAACUAUUACAAGAUGCUAUUCUGAAUCCUACUAAUUUAUUACAGACCGAAACUAAAGAAUUUUAUAGGAAAUUCUGGAGCCUAUAGCUACCCUAAAAAAUUGCAAUCACUAUUUGGCGAAUUUCUUGGGAUUUUAUCCCUAAUCUUGCUAAACUCAGGUACAGAAAAGUCACUUCAAACGACAAAUAUCCCCGUUGCUGCUCCUGGGCAGAAGAAAGCCUUCAUUCUUCCGUGAAUGUCCUAUAACAACAGAAGUUUGGCAGUUUUUAAAUUUAUCCUGAGUUAUGAAUACUAUGAAUCAAAGUCUAUGGGAGUGGCUAACCUAGGUUUUCAAGAGUGGUAACGACGCUCAAUACCGACUCUUCUGUUAUGCUUUAUGGUCGAUAUGGUUUUCCAAAAAUCAAUUCAUACAUGAGGGGAAAAAUACAACAAGAAGGGUUUUAGCACAAAACAUUUAGAGGUAUAUGGCAGAAUAUGAAGGAAUAAAAGCAAGGAAGAUUCCUGAUAAGAUGAACAAAAACUACAGAAUCCAAGAGGACAUACCGAGAAUAACGAUCUACUUUGAUGCAGCGUUUGACAGUAGAAAUUUCAAAUCAGCGACAGGUCUGGUGGGGUGGGAUCUGAGGGGGGAACUAUUGGUACUAAAGAUAGUUAUUCACAACAAAUUUCCCUCCCCAUUCACAGUAGAAGCGUAUGCAUGUUUAGAAGGUAUAAGGUUAGGGAUCUCACUAAGAAUUCAAUCGGUCAAACUCAUGGGGACUCCAAAACAAUAAUUAAAAAUGUCAAACGACUUUAACAGAUAAAUUAGUGAUUGGAGCUAUUAUUAGAGACAUCUAGAAUAAGAAACCCUAUUUUCAAGAGAUUAUCCUUCAGCGUAUUCAUAGAUCAGAGAACUUGCAUGCACAUAGACUAGCAAAAGACGCUCUUCAUAGAGAAGAAACCAUUUACCUGAUGGGAGAAGAGCUGAGUCGCCAUGUUUUCACUUCGGAGAGAAGAUGGCCAAGAAAGCCAGACUGAAGGAGCAGUUGAAGGAAAUGAUCUCAAAAGAAAAUAGCAAAUAAAGUCUAAUCUUUGGGAACUGCUAUCGUCAGAAUAGAUGGAUUUUUGAAAUGACUAAUCGAUAGAUAUAAUGGUAUCCAGCCGUUUUUGAAUUGAGUGGGGUGGAUAUUUCGAUUUCUUUUCUUCUUUUCAUUUAUUGCUUUCUGUUUUUCCAUUAUGUUAGUACGUUACUUGCUGGUUAGGAGGUCUUCACUAUUAAUAUUUUAGUGAGGCCGGUUUUUGUUUUCAGUUUGUUGAAUUUGGUCUGGGUCCAAUGAUAUGGGCCUCCAGUUUGUUUUAUUCUUUUUCAAUAAAAU
rnacentral:lncRNA from 1 species